CCUCGGCGCUACAGGCGGUGUUAACUUGGGCUUUCUCAACAGCUUCACACGGAAACUUUCAAGUAAGUGACCUUGAAAGAAGAACCGAAAACUCAGCCCGAUGCCCUGAAGUCCCAAGGGCAGCCUUGCCACAGGAACCACUCUUGGUGGACCUCAUUAGUGCGGGCUCUUCCCCGGCAGUGCCAUGCAGGCGGGCGAUGCCCGGGAUCCAGGCUUGGAGGCCGCCUGGAGCCCAGCGCCUCCGCGGGGCAGCGCGGAGGUACGCGGAGAUGCAAGGGGGCUGCCAGGGCAGGGCUCGCUCGCAGGGCCCCGGAUGCGGCCGGCAUGCUGCCUAUUGUGCAGCCCGCACCAAUAAGCAAAUUCCACCUGAGCCUCCUUUCAAGACGCCGGCCGCUUUCAAACCGGGGCUUUGAAAGGCUGGGCUCCCUCGGCUCUGCACUGGAGAACAGUUUCUGCUUUUCAGGGAGGCGGGGUGGCCCCCAGGGCCUGCCUCUGAGGCUCUCGCCUGCGUUUAUAGAAAGAAUAAAAGGAAGAAGUCUGUCUGGUGGGUGUUCCUGCGCACCGUUCCCAUCCCUUUAUUUACCAAGGAAACGUCGGACUCCUGCAGUUCCCACUGGUCAUUGCGGGAUGAAUGGACUCUUUGAAGUAUUUUUGAAAGCUGCUUCAAAUUUCCUGGGUUGCAAAGUAGGAUAUUGACAAACACAUAAUUCCUCACUGUAGUCUGCUUCAUCGCUGAAGAAAAAUCCUCACUCUGCCCUACAGCACAGCCUCGCACCAGGCCUUGCAAGAGAAGGCAGCAGAGUGAAAGCUUUAGAACACAGGCGUUGAAUGGACGGAUGGUUGCCGAAAGGGAGGCAGUGGGGGACUGGGUGGAAAAGGUGAAGGGGUCGAGAAGUACAAAGUGGUGGUUACAACACAGCCACGGGGAUAUGCAGUUUAGCAUAGGGAACACAGCAAAUAAUAUUUUAAUGAUUAUGUAUGAUGCCAAGUAGGUACUUGCAAUAGUGGGGGACCACUCUGUAAAGUAUUUGAUUGUCUAAUCACUGUGCUGUACACCCAAAAUGAAUACACAAUAAUAUCAAAUGCAAAGGGUAAUUGAAAAAUAAACCUUAUUGAUUUGCAUAGAAAGAAAAUAUAAAUGUGCUGUUUUGUUAAAUAUGAGUUUACAUAUAAGGAUUAAUAAACAAAAAAAGAAAAAGAACCGAGGCUCUGGAAUCCUAGGGACCAGUGUUAGAAUCCCAGUUCGUCACCAGUUUGCAAUGUGACACCAGGCAAAUGAACUGGCCCAUCUGAUUUCAAGUUUCUUUAUCUGUUACCUGGAGUUGAUUCCUCGCAAGGCAGUUUUGGAGAUUAACUUCAAUAAUGUGUGUAAAGUGCUUAGUAUAUAGUUCAUAGCGCUUGGCCAGUGCUCCAUAAAUGACAGGUCUAAUGACAAAUAAUGCUCUUGUAGAAGACACGAGUCACAGCAGAAUCAUGGCAGAGGUUCGGCAAGGGCCAGCUUAUUUGCUUCCACCCCUUCCAUCUUCUCCCAUCCUUCAGAAAUGCCGCCCGUCUCCUGCCUGUCUCCACACAUUACAACAAAUUCCAACGUUCCGACUCAGAUGUACUAAGUGUGCAUGACUCGUUCCCCCAGGGAUAGUGCCUGGUUGAAAUCCCUCUUGUUUCAUUUGCUGGUAGAGAAAUUUUAAUUUAGCACACUGAAGAAAAUGCAAUUUGGUGCACCUCAUCAAUGUAUUGCCACCUCCAUUUGUUCAAUUUGUACAGGGCAAGAGAAUUAAAGACAUAGAAAGCAAACUACAGUGUGUUUAAGAUUGUACAGGACCCAAAUGCAGUCUUAUUGCGGCAGCAACCCUUGCACCUUUAUUUGCUUUGUUAC